GUUAUUGUUAAUUCCCCAACAUAGGAAAAAAAGUUGAAAAAUCGAUGAACAGAUUUUUUUACAAAGGUCACCAAGAAAUUACGUAGUUGAGCAUAUAAGUGCAUCCCUUCGCGGCGUCUUUAUUAAUUGUAAAACAUACGUUUUCCUAUACCAUAAUGUAUAUAUUGGAAUAACCCAUGCUAGGAAAGCGAGUGGCCGUAGAUGAAGCUCGUGUACCAUGGAUGUUACAUAUACGUAUAAUGAGCGCAUGUGUCAAACGACAAGCGGUCGCGAAGAAUCGAGAAUGUCCUAGCGUGAAAUACUCGCGCCUCUUCUUCUGCCUCUGAUUGGCUCGCUGGGUCAGCGUGUUGUAACUCGUGCGGUUCCUGCACGCUGAGAGCCGAGGACGACGUGCCAGAAUGCCCCCCCACCACCGUUCGCGAAGGCUCUCAGCUCACGCGAUCAGUGAAUCAGUCUAAUUUGACCAACUUCCGAGGUCAGUGCACGUCCGUGUUUAUGUGAGCCUUCAUAAGCUGGGGCGCACAAAUAUAAGUGGAUGUAAUACGAGACUGACUGGUGCAUUUUAACGUAAAAAUUUAGUUUGGUGUAUGGCAGUAAAACGAUGUAUGCCAUUGUUGAAUUCGUGGUUGGCGAGAAGCGAGAAUGUGCAUUAGUGCCAGUUUUGUGGCUGGUGGAUAAUAAUACCAUCUGCUACUGGCCACGCACGAAGAAUGAGGAGCAUUUCCUAAAAUUAGUCAAAUCAAAGGCAAUAUAUCAGAAAACAUGGCCCGAGUAUCCUGUUCACAACGUUCUGCAUACUGGAGAAAGCUUCGACGCACUACAAAAGACGAUGACGCACAUCAUAGAACACGGUACAUCCGAGGAAGAUGGCACAGUUUACACCAUUAGUAAGAAAUCCACAGGGCAUUGUUAUGAAAGAGAGUCGCAGAGCAAUGAUGAACAU